GGAAGCGCUUAAGAUAGGUUUGCCUUUAACGGUUUACAUUGGUGAUCAUCCCUGGACUACCCGCAUUACGAAUUCUACCCGCAUUACGGAUUCUACCCACAUUACGGAACCUACCCGCAUUACGGAUCCUACCCGCAUUACAGAUUCUACCCACUCUUUGAGGGACUUCAUUUCCUAAGGGACCAAUGUUUAUGGUGGUGAAUUGAGGAAAGAAAUAUAUAUACCCCCAAGAUUGUAGCAAGGACACAGAUGUUAACCAAAGGAGAAACCGCUGAACAGCAUCAGGGAACUGAGUGUGAUGUUUCAGGCUGAUCAGAGCAGUCACAGAGAGAGCUCACAGUGACUGUGGAUCAGACAACCACCUGGAGAGAAGCACUGGGACCCCGAGAAGCUAAUUUACUCUGCUGUUAAAGUGAUGGCACCUCAAAAACAAAGUGACAUUGAAAGAUGCAUCUAAACAGUCUUCACCACCCAAGCUGCACACCUCCCCCUCAUCACAAGCCCCCUAGUGUGUCUAUUGCCCCUCAACCAAUCAGCCUUUUCUCAGCUGCAACAUCACCUUUCCAACACUCCCCCCACCAAAAAAAACAGCAGCAUACGCCUGUCAGCUCCCAAAACGAGAUGUCGUGUCGGCGCUGAAAAAUUACACAGUAACGAGGCCCACUUGAGAUUAGGCUAAUGAGAAAAUCAAAACACAAUUUAAUUCUUGUCAGCAAUGAGGCAUCUUUAAAUUACCUCUGCCUGCAUGCUGAUUACCUGGCGCCCGCCACUCAGCCACAAGCAACUUACAAAUAACCCUGAGGUGCUCAGAAUGACAGGCCGCUUUGCAAACCUGCACGGGUAGAGAGAAUAAACCUAUUUCAUUCAUCUCUCAAUAAGAGACCACCCUUUGGCUUUCCCCUGAGUAGAGCAACUGCUGCCAUCUGAGGUUCUCAAAAUGUGACAAAGAUUCUGAGGAUUAAUUCUGAGAAAAGUCACUUUUGAAACUUUGAUUUAUAAAAUAAAUUGGCCUUUUUUUUCAUUGUCUUUUUUUUUUUUUUUUUUUACAAAUGAGGGAACAAAGGCAAAGCACAUUUAGCUGAUCUGAAUGUGUCCAAAAGCAUUUAAUAUGCAGCAAGAAGAUAAUUAAGAUACGGCUCUAAUCCUAAUUUUGGAAUUUAUUGACAUAUUGGUUAUAUUUUGUACACACUACAUUCAACUGUACUAUGUAAAAAAUAAAGUAUUAUU